rnacentral:rRNA from 1 species
UACAGAGGGUGCGAGCGUUAAUCGGAAUUACUGGGCGUAAAGCGCGCGUAGGCGGCUUUGCAAGUCGGGUGUGAAAUCCCCAGGCUUAACCUGGGAACUGCAUUCGAGACUGCAUUGCUAGAGUAUGGGAGAGGGAAGUGGAAUUUCAGGUGUAGCGGUGAAAUGCGUAGAUAUGCGGAGGAACACCGAUGGCGAAGGCAAUCCCCUGGGCCUGCACUGACGCUCAUGCACGAAAGCGUGGGGAGCAAACAGG